AUACACAUUUGCAUUCUGAGACUUUGGUCGGGGUGAGUCCCCACACUGUUUGCACAAUUUCUUGGGCUCCUCUGACUAAAGGGCACAGAACUCCCAUUUGGCUGAGUGUCUAGCUGGCCCUCUUCUGAAAAUAUGGCUUUCCCUGCAGGAUUUGGAUGGGGGGCGUCCACUGCAGCUUAUCAAGUGGAAGGAGGCUGGGAUGCAGAUGGAAAAGGCCCUAGUGUCUGGGACACAUUCACCCAUCAGGGAGGAGAGAGAGUUUUCCAGAACCAGACUGGCGAUGUAGCUUGUGGCAGCUACACUCUGUGGGAGGAAGAUUUGAAAUGUAUCAAACAGCUUGGAUUGACUCAUUACCGCUUCUCUCUUUCCUGGUCACGUCUGUUACCUGAUGGGACGACAGGUUUCAUCAACCAGAAAGGAAUAGACUAUUACAACAAGAUCAUUGAUGAUUUGUUAACUAAUGGGGUCAUACCCAUAGUGACACUCUACCACUUUGACUUGCCUCAGGCCUUAGAAGACAAAGGAGGUUGGUUGUCAGAGGCAAUCAUCGAAUCCUUUGACAAAUACGCCCGGUUUUGCUUCAGUAUGUUUGGAGAUCGAGUCAAGCAGUGGAUCACCAUAAAUGAGCCUAAUAUUCUUGCCAUCAUGGCGUAUGAUCUCGGUGUAUUUCCUCCUGGUGUACCUCACUUUGGAACUGGAGGUUAUCAGGCAGCUCAUAAUUUGAUCAAAGCUCACGCCAGAUCCUGGCACAGCUACGAUUCUUUUUUCCGAAAGGAGCAGAAGGGCAUGGUGUCCCUAGGAAUUUUUGCUGGCUGGGCGGAACCAGCAGAUACCAACUCAGUGUCCGACCAGGAAGCUGCUAAAAGAGCCAUUGCUUUCUGCUUGGAUUUCUUUGCUAAACCCAUAUUUAUUGACGGUGAUUAUCCAGAAGUUGUCAAGUCCCAGAUUGCCUUCAUGAGUAAAAAGCAAGGCUAUCCAUCAUCAAGGCUUCCAAAAUUUACAGAAGAAGAGAAGAGAAUGAUUAAAGGCACAGCUGAUUUCUUUGCUGUGCAAUAUUAUACAAGUCGUUUAGUCAAGUACCAGGAGAACAAGAAAGAAGUGGGUUUUCUUCAGGAUGUGGAGCUUCAAGUUUUUCCAGACCCAUCUUGGAAAAGGUUGGAUUGGGUCUAUGUGGUGCCAUGGGGAAUACGUAAACUACUGAAAUAUAUUAAGGAUACGUAUAAUAACCCUGUAAUUUACAUCACUGAGAACGGGUUUCCCCAGGGUGACCCUGCAUCUCUUGAUGACACUCAGCGCUGGGAGUAUUUCAGACAGACAUUUCAGGAACUGUUCAAAGGAUUGUGGGUGGAUCGUCAAUGCAAUGUCACAUUUCUGCGAAAUCCUCAAAAGGAGGCAAAAGCAAGUAUCAUUGAAUAGGUUCCUUGUUAAAGUUGCAUGAAAAGAAAAAGAUUCCAUUGAGCCAAUAGAUGGCAAUGAUUCUGUUAGUGAUAGUGAAAGUCGUCCUACACAGUAACCCUCCUCUCUCUUGUCUCCCUCACACCAGCCACGGAGGUUUUCAAAGGUGAGGCCCAUGGUGAUGGAAGAACAUCAAAUAACCCUUGAAAGCAUCACAGAAGAGUCACUUGUGAACAUCUGACAACUUCAGAAAAAGUCAAUGAUAAAAUCAACAAGAGCAGUCUGAGCUGGAGGAGAGAGAGAAGCUUUCAUUUCAAUUGAAAUAUACUUUUACAUGGAACUACACAUUUUAAUCACUGAAUUGAAGCAAUGUUUUGUGACUCACAGGGACAAGAAAAAACUCUUUGUAUACUGAAGGAUGACAAGAAAAACCAAGAAUCCGGCAGAAGUUCCUGGCAAAACUAGCAGUAUGAGAACAGUUUUAAAGGGACAAAGGAGACAGAGUAGGAUUACUUUGUGAUUGCGAACUGUGAGUUGUGCCUGUACAACAUAAUAGAUACACAAUUAGCAAAUAUUUAUCGAAUGCUACUACAUGCCAGGCACUGCACGGGAUAUAGCAAUGAACAAAGACAAAUCUUUACUGUCUUGGAAAUUAGAUUCUGCAGGGGAAAAUGGAUGACAAACCAAUAAAGAAUUGAUUGCAUAAAUAGUAGGUCUGGGGUGGGGUAAGGGCUAGUAAGAAAACAUGGGAUAAAAUAAAUGAGGAGGGGGAAACACGACAGUGGCCUCUCAAGGAAGUUCUUUUCUGAUUACUUCUAUUUUCUCAGUGCACUUGGAAGUGACUUCUCUGGGGGGAGUGAGGAGGAGGCAGGGGGUGCUGGAAUUUUAAAGGGAAGUUAUGAAAUUCUCACCUAGAAUCAUGGGAGAGAAAACAGAUUGGGAAUGGUAGGAAGAUUGUCAGGCAGGUUCAAAGACCCUCCUGAGGGCCGUAGUAAUGGUUUUGAGUGACGUGGAUGAGCCCCCAUUUGUGUAUGGCUUUUUUUUUUUCCAUCUAAGUUCACGUACCCUGGUGCAGGCACAGAGAAAGUGGAAAAUUAAAUUAAUCAAGGAAUCACGAUGAAGGAAGAGAGAGGAAGGGAUGUUAGCCUAUUUGCAAGGAGCCAUGGAGUCCAAGUUGGGUAUGGAACGAGAUGAGAACAAGAGAAGAGUGAGUGCUGGCAAUGAGGUUUAUAGACCCUGUGGGGUUUAUUAAUGUUGAGUCAGGACACAAGAGUGAGUGAGCUGUACAAAAUGGGGGUGUGGUAUGAAGUGAAGAUACUUAAGAUUGAGAUUAGAUUAUGGUGAUGAAAAAGUUCAGGAAAUGUCUGGAGGACUGGUUGGCUGAUGUUGAGUAGACAGCAUCAUGGAGGGAGGAGAUCAAGAAGCUUCCCACCAAGAGGCCAGAGUGAUAAAAGAAGGGUUCCCAUGGAUAUUACAGCUCGCCAAGAAUCGUGACAGAAUUAAUACUAGAGAGUAAUAAUGAGCCAGGUGCUACAUUUAGUAAGAAAUGAGGAGUGACUAAGGGCUAGGUUAAGAAGGAGGGUGGUACUGGUAGGUAUAGUCUAAUUGAGUUAAGUUCCAAGCUGGUAGUUUCAGCGAAAGAGACAAUGAUCUAGAAAUGACUAGGACGCACAAGGAUGGCACCCUACCUCUAGGUUCAGUGGUAGAAGGGAUAAGGGAAAGAAAGAAACCAUUAGUGAAGAGAGCUUAAGCCACCUAGUGUCUUCGGCACAAAGCUAGAUUCCACUUAGAGUAAGUCAGAGAAACGGAAAGGAAUGGUGAUAAAGGGAGAGUUUUACUGCCAAUGGACCGUACAUUCUAGAAGGAUCAUGGUGAGGAAUGGGAGAUGGAGGUGAGAGCAGACAGUGUGAAGAACUCUAGGGUGAUGAAGGAUGACCUGGGAGUUGGGGCAUCUAGUGUUGACUGACAUCAAUAUGAAAGUCAGAUAAAUUCAAUUCAUCCCGACGUUCUGGUUUAGGCUGAUUAUGUGGUAAGGAUGCUGCACAGGAAGGAGUGGGGGUCUUGCUUGGAUGACUCGGUGCUCUGGGUGGUGACAUGGUCAAAAAGAGUGUGAUACAAUGGAAUACUACUUGGCAAUGAGAAAGAAUGAAAUAUGGCCUUUUGUAGCAACGUGAUGGAACCGGAGAGUGUUCUGCUAAGUGAAACAAGUCAUAAAGAGAAAGAUACCAUAUGUUUUCACUCUUGUGUGGAUCCUGAGAAACUUACCAGAAAGAAGACCAAGGGGGAGGGGAAAGAAAAGAAAAGUUAGAGAAGGAGGGAGGAAAACCAUAAGAGACUCUUAAAUACAGAGAACAAACUGAGGGUUGAUGCGGGGUGGGGGAGAGGGGAAGGUGGGUGAUGGGCAUGGAGGAGGGCACCUGUUGGGGUGAGCACUGGGUGUUGUAUGGAAACAAAUGUGACAAUAAAUUUCAUAUUAAAAAAAUAGGCAAAAAAAAAGUGUGAUAAUUUAAUCACAUGAGGCUGAGCUGCCAGAGUGGACUCUGACAGAUAGGAAGCAAAUCAGUUUAUAUAUAUAUAUACUCUGAUCUAUUACAAUGUCUGCCUGGUCUCUCAGGGUGAGGAAGGACUGAGGGUAGGUCAAUGAGGUCAGCCGUGGACACAUGAGGGAGAAGGGAUUGACAAGUUGUAAGUUGGCAAACUUUCAUUUUUACAUUUUUGAAAACAGAAAUACUAACAGUAAGCAGUUUGCUCAAAAUCACAGCUAUUUAAUGAGCAAAUCAGAGCCACUCUACCAGGAAUACACGAAAACCCUAUUUAGGUAGCUCUCAUCAUCAAAUAAAUGUGAUUUUGUACUUACGUUCAGAAAGUUGGUAAUAGAGCUACUGAGUCCUGGCUUUGCCCCCAACUGUCUGUGUAACAAUGGGCAAUUUAUUGGGCUUUAUGUCAGUUUGGGUUCCCUAAGAAGCAGACACUGAGGUGGGGUUAGCUGUGCCGGGGAUCUACUGGAGGCAGAUGUCUGGGACCGAUAAAGUAACGAAGCGGUGAAGAAGGUGGGUGGAGGGGGGAGUGAAAUACAAGGCUGACGUGGGAAAGAAGAAAGGAAAGUGGAGUGAAGUUUGCCAUUCAGUCGAAAGCAGAGAUUCCUGCCAGGUGAAUCCAGAGCUGGGCAGGGGCAGACAGCCCUGGGGGCCCUGCAGUGCUCCAUCACUGACUGGGAACAACUCACAGAGAUCACCGAGAGCAGGGCACUGGGGCAUAAAUACCGUGUUCGGGGGACUGGGGGAGAGGAGCCAGCAGUUUGGCGGCUGGAGGCUGUCAGCCGGCCACCUUCCUUGCAGCCAGCGCUCUUGAAGCGAGGCCUGAGUGGCGUACCUCCAUGGCCACCCCAGAUCUGGUCUCAUUUACAAUUUAAAAACUUUUAAAAUUGAGGUGAAUUUCACCUAGCAUGUAAUUAACCAUUUUAAAGUGUAUAAUUUAGCGGUAUUUAGUACAUUCACAAUGUUGUGCAACCAGCACCUCUAUCUCAUUCCAAAACGUUUUCAUCCCCCACAAAGGAGACCCUGUACCUAUUAAACGGUUUCUCCCCGUUUCCCCUCCCUCCUAGUCCCUGGCAACGACUAAUGUACUUUCUGUCUUUAUGGGUUUUCUCAUUAUCGGCAUUUUAUACAAAUGGAAUCAUACAAUAUGUGAUGUUUUGUAUCCAGUUUGUUUAGCAUAAUGUUUUUGGAGCAUGUGUUAGUACUUUGUACAUUUUUAUGGCUGAAUAAUAUUCCAUUAUACGGUUACACCACAUUUUGUUUAUCCAUUUAUUGAUUGAUGGAAAUCUGGGUUAUUUCCAAAAACUGUUUUGAGUAAUGCUGCUAUAGCCAUUUGUGUGCAUAGAUUUGUUUCCGUAUCCAUGUUCAAGUCUAUGGGGUAUAUAUCUAGUAGUGAAAUUCCUGGGUUAUAAGGUAAUACUAUGUUUAGCUUUUUCAUGAACCACCAAACUGCUUUCCCAGCUCAUAAGUCUCACUCCUGUCAUCUAUGCAAUAGGGUACACAAAAGACCCCACCUCCUAGGAUUGUUGUAGAGAGUUAAGGAGAAAAUGCUUGUGGAACAUUGAGCACACAACAGAAGUAAAUGCCUCCCAAUGAUACUUGUCAUUUGUAAUGGAUACUGAAGUAAACUUACUUCAUAUAUAUAUAUAUAUAUAUAUAUAUAUAUAUAUAUAUAUAAUAGCUUCAUGGAUAUAUUUUUUCUAAAUACUGAAGAUGUGACGUUAAGAAUAUUCUUUACUCUUGGGCACCUGGGUGGCUCAGUGGGUUAAGAGUCCCAUUCUUGGUUUCGGCUCAGGUCGUGAUCUCCCAGUUCAUGAGUUCAAACCCUGCAUUGAGCUCUGCACUGACAGUGCGGAGCCUGCUUGGGAUUUUCUCUUCUCUGUCUCCCUCUCUCUACCCUUCCCUUGCUUGUGUUCUCUCUCUCUCUCUCUCUCUCUCAAAAAUAAGUAAAUUGAUUUAAAAAAAAAAGACUACUCUCAAAGACAAAUGGAACCUGUUUUGACUUGGCUUACUGCAGUUUGUGAAAGCAAAGAGCCAUCAGGAUUAAAAGCAUGAUCGUAGCUUGUGUCUGUGGGUUUCUACUGGGGAUGUUUGUGGGACCUUCUCUCAUUAGUGACCACACUCUCUGCAAAUAAUUCCUUCCCAGCAGGGCCAUCCUUGAAAUACCAUUUUAGUUUGUUAUACUAGUCACUGCCUCUCACGUGUCACCAAAUUUGGGCAAACUCUCGCAGACUCUCAUUUUGACACCUAUUUUUUUAAGGGGGCAGGGAAAGGAGAUUUAAAAAAUAUCAGUCAUCACUGGGCAGGGAGAGAGAGAAAGAGAAUAGAAGACUAAUUGUUCCACAAGCGGCUUGGGGAGAGCAGGGGAACGGAGUCACUCACAGUGAGAUGUCCCGGUGACUGGUGUGGUUUACUGAGGAACGUAGUCUGGUUUCUUUGCAGGUAUUGAAAAUGCUUAAAACAAUACCAAAAGUAUCUCACCUAGUUCCUGACCUCUCAGAACCUUUGCCUCAGUCACAGUGAUUACUGAUACCAUGACAAUGUAAGUCAUGACUCCUCUGGUGGACAGUUUUCCUUGCUUGUUUACUUAUGGAGUUGUGUCCCAAUCAAUGUUUGGCAUAUAGAAGGUGCUGCACGAAUAGGUUUUAAACAAAUGUCUCCAUUGACGAUUGCCAUUGCCUCUCCUUGGCAUCUGUCACUUACCGGGAGUUGGUUUCGAGUAGUCAUGAAGUACUUGGGCUGUGGUUUUGGACUUGGUGGGUUUGAAUUCUGGAACUACCACUUAGGAGUUGUGUGAUUUGGGGCAGUUUGCUCAGGGUACAAAGGAAGAUAAUAUCAGUCUCUCUUAAGAGAUGUGGG